rnacentral:rRNA from 1 species
UACGGAGGGGGCUAGCGUUGUUCGGAAUUACUGGGCGUAAAGCGCACGUAGGCGGCUUUGUAAGUUAGAGGUGAAAGCCCAGGGCUUAACCCUGGAAUUGCCUUUAAGACUGCAUCGCUAGAAUCGUGGAGAGGUGAGUGGAAUUCCGAGUGUAGAGGUGAAAUUCGUAGAUAUCGGGAGGAACACCAGUGGCGAAGGCGGCCUUCUGGACCAGUACUGACGCUCAUGCACGAAAGCGUGGGGAGCAAACAGG